rnacentral:rRNA from 1 species
CUAGCUAAAGUUUUCAGUUGGGGUGACUAUGGAGAAAAACCCAUCCUCCAUGAUGCAAACCAAAUUCAAAACCACAAGCUACAGCUUUACGUCUCAGUAAACUGACAUUCAUUGACCCAUAUAAUUGAUCAACGAACCAAGCUACCCCAGGGAUAACAGCGCAAUCCACUUUAAGAGCACAUAUCGACAAGUGGGCUUACGACCUCGAUGUUGGAUCAGGGUAUCCCAGUGGUGCAGCCGCUACUAAAGGU